rnacentral:rRNA from 1 species
CCUACGGGAGGCAGCAGUGGGGAAUAUUCCACAAUGGAGGGAACCCUGAUGCAGCGACGCCGCGUGAGUGAAGAAGGAUUUCGGUAUGUAAAGCUCUGUCAGCAGGGAAGAAGAAAGACGGUACCUGACCAAGAAGCCCCGGCUAACUAUGUUCCAGCAGCCGCGGUAAUACGUAGGGGGCAAGCGUUAUCCGGACUUAGUGGGUGUAAAGUGAGCGUAGACGGGAGGGCAAGUCUGGAGUGAAAGGCAGGGGCCCAACCGGUGAACUGCACUAGAAACUGUCCGGCUGGAGUGCAGGAGAGGUAAGUGGAAUUCCAAGUGUAGCGGUGGAAUGCGUAGAUAUUAGGAGGAACACCAGUGGCGAAGGCGGCUUACUGGACUGUAACUGACGUUGAGGCUCGAAAGCGUGGGGAGCAAACAGGAUUAGAUACCCUUGUAGUC